UAGAGUUAUCUAACUCACCAAAACCCUGUGAACUUACCUAUGUUGCCUCGGCGGGGAAGCCUACUCGGUAGCUAGCUGCCCCGUAGGCCUACCCGUCGGCGGCCCAUCCAAACUCUGUUUUAUUUUGGCACUUCUGAAUUAUAUAAUAAAUUCGUUA
rnacentral:misc_RNA from 1 species